CUGUGAACUGUGUGAGGACACUUUUUUUUUUGCAUGUUUUUUCUCAGACCUUGGUGGGGCAUUCUGGGAAUCUGGAUUACCCAACCAGGAACAUUUUACAGAAAGGGAAUUGGUCUCCUUGCAAAUCUUCAACAGACCUCCAGAUGAUGCAAAGGGGACGUCGCUGUGUCGCCUCAGUGGUGACGGGCAAUCAUACUGGGCUCUGAGCUUGAGUCUGAUCAUCUCUGUCUAGAAAAUCCAGGUUAACGUUGCGUGAACGCCAAUCUGCUGGAGGAAGCAUGGGAUCUGAAAAAAGGAGCAGAGAAUGUCCAUGUCCUUCCUGUGGAUGAUUUCAGAACUAUUGCUUGUAUUGAUCUCUGUGCUGAAGAAACGUCAUGAUGUAAAAGAAAAAGCCUCCUCCUGAUGCAGGGGAUGUCUAACGGGGGGCAGAGAGAAGCCGACAGUGUCAGUCUAACUGGAAUCUUGCCACAUGGAAGCAGAAAAGGGAGCUGAAGCAUGGGGAGUAUGCAGGUCACACACCAUGUGACACUGUGCAUACGUGAGAGUGGCUUCACCUGAAAAUCUAGCAACUGUGCAGAAGAACCUUAGGAGAUGUUUUUGUGUCAUCAUCACUGCCUAAGAGCUGCUUGUGCAGGACUUCAAGCCCAAGGCUUGUAUGGGGAAUAUAUCUUUCAACAACAACACAAAGAGGUUCUUACAGCCUGGGACUUAGAAGGAGAGAGAGUGGGAAGAUCGCUGCAUCUCGUCUGUACUGAGCUGAUCCCACGGCAAAUACCUUCACCAUUCCCUGUGUCCCCGACUACCUGGCUCUUUUGUCAUCUGUGAACUGUGAACUCCUAAUAAAUUCUUGUUAUGUGCCCCAAAGAGGCAAAACUUAAGUUUGGGGCACCAGCGAUGCAGGGUUCACAAAAAAAUUAAAAACCAGAAGGUGAAUUACAGCUUUGAUGAACUUAUCACAGUCUUUGCAAUCUAAAUAAACCUGUUUUUAUGU